UACCAGACUCCUACGGGAGGCAGCAGUGGGGAAUAUUGGGCAAUGGAGGCAACUCUUACCCAGCAAUGCCGCGUGAAUGAAGAAGGUCUUCGGAUUGUAAAGUUCUUUAAUUGGGGACGAAAAAAAUGACGGUACCCAAGGAAUAAGCCCCGGCUAACUACGUGCCAGCAGCCGCGGUAAUACGUAGGUGGCGAGCGUUGUCCGGAUUUACUGGGCGUAAAGGGAGCGUAGGCGGACUUUUAAGUGAGAUGUGAAAUACUCGGGCUCAACUUGAGUGCUGCAUUUCAAACUGGAAGUCUAGAGUGCAGGAGAGGAGAAUGGAAUUCCUAGUGUAGCGGUGAAAUGCGUAGAGAUUAGGAAGAACACCAGUGGCGAAGGCGAUUCUCUGGACUGUAACUGACGCUGAGGUUCGAAAGCGUGGGGAGCAAACAGGAUUAGAUACCCCUGUA
rnacentral:rRNA from 1 species